rnacentral:SRP_RNA from 1 species
AGGUCGGGCGGUUAGGCCCCGCUCGUCACCCGCGGUAUGGUCUUCAGCGGGGGCCGAAAUCCGAGCGCGUCUGGCCCGCCCACCACGGGCCCCGAGAGCCAACGUCGAAACCUCGUCCCACGAGGGCAGCGGUCCGCGUACCGACCCCUGCAGGGGGGUCGCGGCGCGGUUGACCGCGGGCAAUCCGUCAGGCACGGAAGUGAGCAGCGGACCCGCGGACACCUGUCGCCCGUGGGGUCGCGGGGUGGAGGAGGCAAUCGGGACUCCCCGUGCUGGAACGGUCGGGCAACCUCG